AUCGCUUGGACAAACCCUGGGUUGCUUUCUUCCGGGGGUCAGCACUCUGUUUGGGACCCUCUCCCUCCCUCCCUUAGGGCAGCAGAACGCCCCCACUCUCCCGGCCCUGCCUUUGAGUGGAGCACCUGCCAGGAGCAAGUGCUGGGGAAGCUUGGCGGGCGCAGCAGGGACUCGCCCUAGCGCAGCUCCGGAUGCGGCCGCGCCCGCAGGGCCCCGGACCCCGGCUUCCAGGAGCGCUUCUUCCAGCAGCGUCUGGACCACUUCAACUUCGAGCGCUUCGGCAACAAGACCUUCCCCCAGCGCUUCCUGGUGUCGGACAGGUUCUGGGUCCGGGGCGAGGGGCCCAUCUUCUUCUACACUGGAAACGAGGGCGACGUGUGGGCCUUCGCCAACAACUCGGGCUUCGUCGCGGAGCUGGCGGCCGAGCAGGGGGCUCUACUGGUCUUCGCGGAGGUGCCGGGGGUGCGGGGGGGUCGCGGAGCACCGCUACUACGGGAAGUCGCUGCCGUUCGGUGCGCAGUCCACGCAGCGCGGGCACACGGAGCUGCUGACGGUGGAGCAGGCCCUGGCCGACUUCGCAGAGCUGCUCCGCGCCCUACGACGCGACCUCGGGGCCCAGGAUGCCCCCGCCAUCGCCUUCGGUGGAAGUUACGGGGGGAUGCUCAGCGCCUACCUGAGGAUGAAGUAUCCCCACCUGGUGGCGGGGGCGCU
rnacentral:sRNA from 1 species